AAAACAACGCUGUAUGUAGCUGGUUGACAUCGGGUCAGAUAUGUUUUUUCAUUUGCAUUUGGUCCCCUUCAACCAGCUGUAGCAGUGGUUGAUA
rnacentral:pre_miRNA from 1 species